GUCAAUCAAAGUUUCUAGGGAAACUUAUAUUAGUACUUCUGUCUAAUUUUGCAUUAUUUUAUUUUAUUUGUUAGCAUCUUGAUAUGCUUGAUCACUGAACCUUCGUUAGCCUCAGCGUUUUGAAGCAUUAAUUUGCUUGGUUUGUUUUUCUUUUUUCUCCGGUUUCUUACUUCUGAUUUCUCUUGUUUGCUCAUGACAGUUUAUUCAUCUGCUUUUAACUAGACUUUGGUAGUGGAUAUUUGCAUGUGAUUAAAUAGUCAUGAAAUUAGGUCUCUAAUUUUGUUUGAAGCUUAUUGUUUAGUUUGUUUUUCUAUUUACAUGAUUAGUUGCCAGUCUGAUUUUGACUAGGAUUUAUUUAGGUACUUUAGUUCAGCUUUUUUAAGGGAUUUAAUUCUUGUUUCGGG
rnacentral:lncRNA from 1 species